GGUGGCAGAAAUGAAGGCGUGCAUUAAAACAAACACAGGUUCAGGUUUGUUCCUGUCUGUUAAAGGUUUGUGUGAUGGUGAGGGGGGUUUAACGGACCCAGAGCUGGUCAACACUGAACCACAUCAAAGACAGCCAGAGCUCUGUGUUACCCCCCGUCUGGACAGGUUUAAUAAACCAGGCCUGAACAUCUACACUGUUGCCUGUUAUUUUCCAGAGAAAACACACAAAGUGACCAGGUGUAAAAAGGCACUAUGAUGUGUUUUUGGAGAUGUUUGGCAGAAACUUCAAAAUGCUCAUUACUGUAUAAAGCUUAUGAAUGACCCAUGGGGAGGCGACCUACUGAUGUUCAGGGUUUAGACAUCACCGCACAGCCCGCGAUUCUCACGAGAUGUUCAGACAGAAGCCCGAGGCCACAGGCUUAUUCGGAGGAAACAGUGGGCCCUCAACCAGUGCAACUGCUUUAGCCCGGCACUGCCCUUUCAGCUCAAUCGACAAUGACAGAUUCCUGGCCUCAGAUUGCCAGCUGGCACACAAGGAGAGAGAGAGAGAGAGAGAGAGGCUGCUGCUACAUAACGUAAAGAUCGCUCUUUAUAUCCAAUAUAUACAGCUGGGGAAAUGUAUUUAUUAUGACUCAACUUGUAUACUUAAAUGUUCUGAUUUCUUUCUUUGUAUGAACUCAAUAUUUGGCUUGAUGGCUACAUCAUAUCCUAUAUAAAGAAUGAAAAUAUAACCUUGAUAACUUUAAUAUUGACUGAAUUAAUGUGAAAUUAAACUUUGAUGCCCCAGAUUUUAUCAUUAGAUUAUGAGACUUUAGUCUGGAUUUCACAGACAGGGUCACAUUUGUUUUCUCCUGUCCAGAUGAAGCACGGUAAGAGUGAGUAAAUAUAAUUUGUUUCUUACAAUGAACAAUCCAUUUAAAACCAAUAAGGCAUUCAAAUAAAUGUUAAUUUCAUAAUUUGAUUCUCGUGUGUCAUUAAGGUGAUUCUCGUGUGUCUUAAUAAGAACCUUUAGGGUCAAUCACGCACAGCUAACGCAAAUAGCAAAUGCAAACAAACCAUCAAGUGAAUUGCACGCUCCAUUUGCCCUCGUCGUCCCUUUAUUCUGCACCUAUAGAGUAAAUCCAGCUCUCACUGAGAGACACACCACAGUCUCACUGCUCCAGCUGAGUGAAUUUACAUGGACUCAGGCUGCAGAUUAUAUAGUACGUUAUCCACUGAAAGGGAUGUGCACCGUCUAGGAAAAAAUCAAUCAAGAUUAGUUUAGCCACCUCUCAAUGGAGCACUGUGAAGCUCCUCAGGGGGUUAACUACCAAUCCCAGAGAUGGUCAGGGAUACGAUAUGAGAUACGGCACAUUGUAAUGUUAUGCACUCUCUCGAUUCUCUUUCUAAAUAUACACACGC